GACGAACGCUGGCGGCGUGCUUAACACAUGCGAGUCGAACGGAGAGGCCGGACCUUUGUCUGGUGCACCAGUGGCGAACGGGUGAGUAACACGUGAGCAAUCUGCCCCUGACUCUGGGAUAACUUCAGGAAACGGCGGCUAAUACCGGAUAGGAGCUGCUGCGGCAUCGUGAGCAUCGGGAAGUUACGGCGGUCGGGGAUGGACUCGCGGCUUAUCAGCUUGUUGGUGGGGUAGCGGCUCACCAAGGCUUCGACGGGUAGCCGGCCUGAGAGGGUGACCGGCCACAUUGGGACUGAGACACGGCCCAGACUCCUACGGGAGGCAGCAGUGGGGAAUAUUGCACAAUGGGCGGAAGCCUGAUGCAGCAACGCCGCGUGCGGGAUGACGGCCUUCGGGUUGUAAACCUCUUUUGGCUGGGACGAAGCGAGAGUGACGGUAACGGGUAAAAAAGCACCGGCUAACUACGUG
rnacentral:rRNA from 1 species